ACAAAUGUAUUCUCUCUUAGUCACUAUCAUAACAAGCACAGAAAAAAAAGUGAAUGAAAGUUUAGUCUUAGUAACUUAAAAUACUAUCUAAUCAUAUCAGCUUAUGAAAAUAGAAAGCAAUGGAAAAACUGUUGAUAUCAGAAUAUUUGUCAACUCAGGCAUGGAAACUGAGCCUAGCUAAGAUAAGGAGUUACACAGCUUCGAAUUGUGGGAUCAUCAUAUUCCAUCCCAUGCAGAGCAUUGAGAAAGGGCAAGUCUCUGGAACCAGUUCUCUUGGUAAGUUUACAUAAUUUUUUCAACGGUUUUAUAAUAUAAUACUCCUAGAGAACUGAGCAGUCUAAUAAUAACUGAAUCUCAGAAAGCAAUCAUUCAAGUAAUGUCUUUCUUUUUUGCUGAUAACAUGGCCAAUCAUUCACAGAAUGCACCAUUAUGACACUCUUCACCUAUUACCUUCUAACUGUAUACAAUGCCAUAGAUAUAUGAGAACUGUAUUCCUUCUUUUUAAAAACUGAUGCAAUGACAAAAUAUUUCUUAAACCCUAAAGGAAAGCAAGCUCAGAGCUUCACAUGACAGGAAAGACACAUGCAUACACAAACAAGAAAAACAUGUUGUAUUGGCCUACCUUAAUACACAAUUAUGUGGCUUCACAUUGUUUUAAUUUGGAUAUUUGUAAUAUGAGUAAUUUAAACCAAUAUGCACUCUUUACAGAUAACAGACAAAAAUCAGCAGUCUCCCUAAAAUAAAUGGGUGUUUUACAGUUUGUGAGAUAAGAUUACAAUGUAGAAACAAGAUAUGAAUAUUGUAAAAAAAAAAAAAAAAAA